GCGGUGGAAGACCCAACUCCGAGCGCCGGUAUCGCGUCAGGAAUGAAUAAAUACGAUGGCUUCUGGCUUCCAUGUGGCGGAGCUUGUCCCUGCGAUGUGUCUCUGCGUGCUGUCAGCUGCUGAGAGUCAAGUGAUAAGCGCACCUUUUGUUAAUUCUUUCUUUUUUUUUUUCCUUUUUUUGCACAUAGAGCAACCAUCAACGCCUUUCUUUUUAUUUAUUUUAAUUCAUAAUUUUACUUCAUUAGCGAUGUAAAAUGGAUUGUUGCAAUACAUCAGCAUUCUGAGAGGACUGUGUGGUAACUUAUGUGUAUGGCUGUAGAGGGUACCUGAAAUUCCAGGAGGAAUAUGCAAGAACAGAAACGAACAAAUGUGCGUACAAUCCGAUUUUAGAAAAGCAUUGAUCCAUUCUUAGAAUGGAAGAUGAAGCAAAGUAUACAUGUGCCUUGAGUAGCAUUAUAAAUAAUCAAAUGUAUGAAUAAUUGGGUUAAUAACCAGGAUUUAACUGCUUUCUUCUUCUAGAAGGAUAAGGGAAGACUUCAAGAGAAAAGUGUUGUUCUCUAAAAGAUAUCAUAAAUGCUAAUUUCAUUACAUCAGCUGCUUGAAUGCUGUAACUCAUGCAGAAGUUUUUUUAUUAGGCAGAAACUAUGUUUUGCAGUGUACUGUACCGAAGUAUUAUGAACUCUGGAAUAGUUUAUUCAUAGCAAGAUAGUAUUUGGCAGACUAGGUUAAGAUAUUGGUCCAUCAAGCUAAUUAUUCUGCCACCAGCAGCAUCCUUUUCCUGAUGCUUUCGUCAGGAGUGGUGUCAGAUGAAAUGAAGUAAAUCAUGAUGUCGGACUGAUAUCACGUAAGUGUUACUAACUGAAAAUUUUGACAUAUUGUGAUAACUAGGAGAGCAUUUUGUAGGGAAAAAAAAACUCAACAACACUGCUUAUCUGUAAAAAUAAUUUAGUUUUGAUAGGAAGGAUUUUCUGGAAUAGGUGUGGUAACAUACAGAUUGGUGUCUAUGUGCUUAUUUUGAUGAGCAAGUCAAAGCUAGAAAUGAGCUAUACUGAACUGGCUAAUUCUCUCCUUUCUCCUCUGUGAAGCUAAAGGAUCAGCCUACAAGUAAUAAUGCUCUCUUGCACUGUGGGAGGAUUGUAACUGCUUUGGUGUCCAUCACAAUGAAUGAAUUUCUGGGGAUGUAGGGAGGAUGAAGCAGGACUGUGUGUACAGCCUCAUUAUUAAGAAAACCAGGUUAUCCACUCUCUGUUACUAGAAUUUUCAGCAGUUCCAUAGUUUCCAGCCUCAUGCUAUGUCUUCAAAACUACUAACUUGCCAGAGUCUGAUCCUACAAAAUAAUGAACAAUUUCUGGAGGUUCUUAAUGUUCUUAUCUUCUGUUUAGAGCAGGGAACUCUCAGCACCCACAAAAAUUCUUAGUGUUUAAGAGCAGCAUGGAUUAUUAGGAUUAUCUGAUAUGCUGCCAUACAUGACAAAUGAUGGAACUUCAUACUGGGACAACAUGUCUUACUUUAAAUUGCUCUGUAUCUGUCAGAUUGGUGACCUGCUCACAAAAGGUCAGCAGUUGUCCAAACCCAGAGCAAUGUUUGUCAGAGGCUCUAGCAGAGAAUGCUUACCACAAGUAAGGUACAAAACCUAACAGGGACAGGAGGAAUGACUACCUAUGAAGAUAGAGUUUUUCAGAAAUUGUGUUUAUAAGCAAGUAAUCUUUUUCAUAGUCACAGUAAAAUUGCUCUAUCAGUCUUUGUCCUUGGAAAUCCUGAAGUGGCAAUUACUUUGGACAUCGAGUAAACAAGCAGUACAGGAAGAUACUUAUGCCAAGGACAGGUAGAAGAAAUUGGAUGCAAAUAUUUGCACUUCAGAUCUCAUUCAGCCAGGAGGAAGGUUUCUAGAAAUUACACAGAUUCUGGAGUGAGAUGUCUAUUUGCAUUUUAAAGAAAACAAACAAACAAAAAAAAAGCGCAAAACCUUAAGUAAUGUCAAGCAUAUAGAUUUUUUUUAAAUUAUUGUUUCAUUAGGUCAAAAACCUAAAAGUUUAAUGGUCCUAUUAUUUAAAAAUUUUGUAAACCAGAUGUUUAAUUUUUUGAAUAGGAACACAUAAAUUUUGAGAUGAUGUUAAAGAAUUGUAAAAUUACAGUGAUGUAAAAUUAUAACAUGAGUAUUUGGUCUCAUUUUUUCCUUUCUGGAACAAAAAACAAAGGCAUAACAGUUCAGAACUUCAAAAAAAUUACAAUGUUUUUAUUCCACCAGAACAUCAGUAAAUAAAAUUGUAAUAAGUCUUCUCAUGAGACCUUGUACACUUACAGAUUAUCUUGUUUUUGUUUAAAAGAAUAAAAUUACUUCCAGUUUUACCAUUUUGUGUGAAAGGGAGAUGUAAGGCCCACAAGUAUUCAAACUUAGUGCAUGAAGUUCAUCUCCCAUUUAACACCAAUGAAGUCCUUUUUACAUUCUUACAGUUGCUUCAUUGUUCUAGCUGAAUUCAACCACUAUGAGGUCUUUUGGGAAAAAAAGACAGUGCUUUGUUCAGGAGGCGACUGAAAAGUGCAUUACUACUUUAAAUAGUGCAUUAUGUGCCAGUUGAAAUAGAAGCUAGAAUAUUCCUGAAAACCAGGAGGUUUAUUUGUCCCCAUUCCUGCACACAUGCUCCUGUGGCUAAUGGGCAUUUUGAAUACCUAGUGAGGUAGAUGCUGCUGUGGCACACUCAAGAUGUGGGAUAUGCACCAAGAAAGCAGAGUUCUCUGUUGUGUUCUGUUAUGUAGAGUUGAUGAAAUAGCUACUUUUCAUGAGAUCAACCAUUCAGGGUGUUGCCACAGCAAACAGAAAGUCAGAUCUGAUUUAGCAGGCUGGCUGGAUUGUGCUAACUGAUCCACAGAAAGUUGUGACUCUGUGAAUUGCUUCUCUUUUAAAUGCUAAAUUGUACAACUUGUUGAAAGUGUCAGAGCAUGGAGAGCAAGACCAAAAGUCUGAAGCAAGUCCUAACCCUUAAGAUUCUCAUUGCCAUGUGCUGCUGCAAUGAGUACAGCACUAUUGCAGAGUCUGUCAUGGUUUGUAGUAGGAAAAGACAUUUAGGCAAGAAAUAAGUGAAAUUUAAUCUACUCCGGAAAAAUAAAUUCCCAGUUCUUGAGCAUGAAGUAGAAGCUCUGUUACAUAUGCUGUCCACAAUGGGCAGUAAAUUAAAAUUUAAUGGAGAUUUCCUCUGCAAGUUACAGGGAAAAAACAAACAAGCAAACAACAACAAAAAAAAAAGUAAAAUCAACAAAACCCAAGAAAGAGCAAGAUUCAGAUUGCCUGGGAUUAUAGGAACUGGAAGAAAAAUAAAGAGUGGUAAACUGAAUGCCUUUAAAUAACCAGAAAACAUCAUGAAAACCUAAAACUUUAAGAAUGCAAAGGAAAUUUGAUUAUUAAUUCAGAAAUUACUUCUUUUGGAGUUCAGACAAUAAUUUAGAUUUGAAAUAGUUAACACAGAUUGUUCUGUGUUAAUUUCAUUUUCAUGUUGGUUUCUCCCAGAUUACAGUUGUACUUCUAGCUGUAAAAAGGUAAACACCUAUAACUCGAGGCUUACAUAAUGUUAUGCCUUAUAAGAAAAAUAUUGAGAAGGAAAUACAUUUGUUUGUAUUUCGGACAGAACUCUGUACUUCUCUUUCAUUGUUGCCAUUUGCUACUUUCCAUUUGUUGUGACUCAGUCAUUUAGAGAAGAGUUGAGGGGUUUUGUUCUUUUGCUUGGUCUUUUUAAAGGAGUAGUGAUUUUAAACCAAUAAAAACUGUGAAAAGUGAAGAUAUGCAGAACAAAUAUGAUGCAACUUUAAUUUUAUCAAGAUAAUCUGAUUUCAGGUUGAUAGUACUUCUUUAAGUUUUGACCUACCACGAUCAAGACAAUCUUGUGUUUCUACUUACAGAAAUAAUUGAUUGCUAUUUUGAUAAUAUGACAUGCAUAACUUAGAAAAUAAUUCAUUUCAUACACUAUUUUUUUUCACAAUUUUUUUUUUUUAUGCAAAGGAAUCUUAACCCCUUUGCUAUUUGAAGCAAAAUUCUGGAUAAUUUACAGUACCAUAAGUGCUCUGUGUUAACAUGUAUCAUUGCCUUUACAGAAUCCUCUGGGAAAGAAAAGUGACACUGUAAAAACUUUCAAAUAAUUUUAGAUUUCACUGGCUAGGAAGGGGAAACUGACCAAGACACUCGGUAAGCCUAAAUCAAGGUAUGUCAAAGUCAGUGGAGCAGUUGCACUGAUUUCACUGCUAUUUGAGAUGAACUAUCCUUGAUGUUCCUAGUCUGUGUUCUGGGAAAACAUUUAUACACACACACACUUGUAUGAGGUUCUUUUUUAAUAAUUGUUUCUAUUUGACUGCUUCACCUCACUGCCAAGCCAACAGUGGAUCCAGUGUCUCUUUCUUAUUACUGUGUUUCCUUUGUUACACUUGGCCAUUUAUUGUGCUGCACUGUGAAUGCUGGGAGUAUGAAAAGCCUUAACUGAAUUGUAGACAUGUAUAAUUAAUAUCUGCCAGCCUUUCUGGAAAUAUUAAAGCACAGGAUGUAUUAUACCUCUGGUCUUAGCCUUAUACAUUUAGAUUUUAAUUCAUCUAAGGACACCUUUCACUAUCUGGUGAAAAAGAGGAUACUCAACUCGAUCACAACAAGAUCUUUUUUUCCAUUAGCAGUACCUGUUUUAUACAUGGAAGGUUUAAUUGUUUCCAGAACAGCUUCAUUAACUUCUGAAAGUGUUACCAAUACAGGCCUCCCCAGAGCCAGGAUGCUAAUUAGAAAGAAAACUGGCCUUGCAGUAGUUUGAGGAGUGGUGUCUUUUUUUUUUUUUUUUGAAGAGAGCAGGAGGGCUCAUUCCAUCAUUGACAGAGUGUUUCAGAAUGUAGGAAUAGCUGCCUGUUGUAUGAGCUCAGAGAACACUUAUGAAAAAUUAAUUAUCCCCACAAUGGAACAACCUCUUCAGACAACCAACAGUAGUGAGCCUAAUAAUGAUUAUGUAAAUAAUGUUAAGAUGUCCAUUCAAGGUCCAUGCAGUUCAAGCAGUGUCCUUUACGACCAGCACUGUGUGUCAGCCCCAAGGCCCCUGACUCAGUGGAUUGGGUAUGUGCCUUAUGAAUGCUUGGAUUGCUUCCUCAGGUACCCACAUUGUCACUAGUAACACAUCUGACCCUUCUCACAUUUACACUGACUUCUUAUUAAAGGUGUUUUAAGUCUGACCAAAAAAAAAUCUAUACAGGACUAAAGAGUAAGUGUAAAUACAAAAUGUAAACAAAAUUAAAAUAAUGGAUUAAUAAGAAAAACAUAGAUCCUAUUAAAAGUAAAAGCAUGAUAUCAAGAAUUGUUGUAAUAGUUUGAAGUUUUAUAUUGAUGGUCAGGCCUUUAGAAUCUGUAUGAAAAAAGUACCUGUAUUGAAAAUAGGUACUAAAGGAAAAGAAAUUACCCCUGACCUUUUUAUAAGGAUCACCACCUAAUGUAUCAAAUAGGAAAGUUUUUGGCCAGUAAUAAAAUACAGUAAUUAUCAGUCAAACCCUAGAACUUCCAUAUUUUUCCCCAUGAAGGUUGUGUUUUAAAUAUUUUCUAGGAGGAUUUCUCUAGAAGGCAGAAGUGGAUUAUAGCUGCUACUUUCCAGUCAAAAGAGAGUAAAAUAAACCCCACAUCCUGACUAAUGGCUCAGGCUUAUUUGCUUUUUGGCCAGUGCAACAAUAAGAGUGCCCAGUAUGAAAGUUUUCUGGCAGUUUAACAAAGAUGGUAGCAGAAAGUCCACUUUCAUGUCCUUGUCAGACUAAAGCACAAUGAAAAUGUGUAUACAUUCUUCUGAAUAUGAGCAGGGAGCAUAGUCUGAACAGUUAACGUGAACUUAAGUGGCCACAAGUGGUUGUGUAUCCUAGAAAUGCGCUGUGAAUAAAGUAAAAUGUUCUUUUGCUGGGGAUGAGGUGUGACUGUGAGCUUCAUCCUGCUCUCUGUGCAGGACUGUCAGUGCUAAAGAAAGUUUCUGUGUUCUUGCUGACAUUUCAGAAGUUGCGAGUUAUGAUCUGGAUUUGCUACAUUGGCAAAAGAAUAGGACAGGUCACCCCAUCUCAGCAGUGAAACUGUCAGUAACAAGGAUAAUCCUCCUCAGUCUCAACAGCACUUACAGGGAAGUUGAUGCUAAGGUCAGGCAAGAAGGCAAGACCAACACUAGUGCCAAUGAACCUGUCAACAUUAAACACCUCUUUUUUCAGAGUAGUACUUCAAUACUUCAAUAGUCUGUGCUUCAGACUGUAUGUUGACAUGGCAGAGGGUUUUCCUUUCAUUUGGGUGAAGCUAAAGCUGACAGACAUAGUAGAGGCCAAGCAGACAAAGCCAGAAAAAGGACAGACCUUCAGAGUGUGAGGGUGACAUUGAAGGAAUCCAGCAAAAAAUGCUCAAGAAAUUUAAGAUAUUUUACACUCAUACUUGUCUUUCUGAGCUUGGAAGCCACACAGGUGCUAGCAUUGCUACUUCCUCUGAAAUUGCAGUCCCUAUCAGAUUGUGUACUGAGGAAAGGAAUAAGCUUUUACUUUCACCAUGGAUGGUGUCAGAAUUCACAGUUCCUGCAUCACCUAAAAGAAACUACCAGACCAAGCAAAUUUUCCAGUGAAAUCAGCACAUGUUUAAGUCUCUUAAGGAAAGAAUUUCAUCUACAGAGGAAAUAAUUUUAAACAACACUUUUCCAACCAACAUACAAGAGCUCAGUGCUGGAAUCAAAAAACUAUUCUGGCACUGUGCCCUUUACCCAUUUUGAAAAUAUUUCCAAGUGUGCUACUUUGUUGUUUGUAUGUCAACUUGACAUUACAACAGUUCCAGUGAGAGGUUAUAACUGGAGAGAUUUCUCCAAUACUAGACGUGAUGCCAGUGACUUUUUGAAACUUUUGCCCACCUUCUUCCACUCAGCAUAACCAGGUACAAAAAUAGAUGCAGCCAAGACAAGUGAUUAUUACCAGGAGGAACUGUAUUCCCUUGCCUUCUCCCAGAUCCAGGUGAAAAAGAUAUGUCACUCCUUGGGAGUGGGCUUUAUGCCAAGUACAAUGGUGGCUUUGUUAGAGCAAUCACUCAGCUUCAUUAUUACUUCAUUUUUAUCAAUUUGCUUAUUGAAAGGAAGGAUUAGUGCAAGCCCUCUUUAUUUUUCUUUUCUUUAUCCACUUUAUGGGAUAUUGACUACUGAGUGAUUGGCAGCUGGAACCUCAGAACUAGUGAUGGUUCAUAAAUCCUUUCCGAAUUCUGCUAGGGAACAAUGAUACCAGUCUGGGAGCAGUAGAGAGAGAAAAAUAAAUAAAUAAAAAGAUUUUACUAACUGAGCCUUUAAAAAUCUGUAUGUGCUUAGUAGAGAGUUGAUAAAAGGGAACAGCUGCAUCCUUAAAGAAUCUAUACCCAUAAAGUAAGCUCAGACUUCUGCUUUUUUCUUGACUAACACAGCAGCUAAAAUAGCUCACUCUCCUUAGAGUCAUUACCAGGCUUUACAUCUGUUGAUCCCUGACAGCAAAUGAUUUUUUAAAAAUAUUCUCUUCACCACUGCAAGAGAAAAACUGAGUUUUUUCUAAAUUGGUUAUCCCUCUCUCAUCAAGCCUGGGUAGGGAUGGAUACUGGAAUUAACAAUGAUGAGUUUAUUUCUUCAAUAGGAGAGAAAAAGAGAACAAAUGAGAUUUGAUGGGGUGUUGGGAUGCAAGAUAAAAAGCAAGAUUGGGUGAAGAACUCAGAUGUUGCUAAGAUAGAAGAGGAUACCCUAAGAGUGCCAUGAAGUCAGCACCUGAUCUUUCUGCACAAAUAAACUAAGACAAGAAGCCAGUACUCCAGCCAUAAGCAGGAACAGGUUGGUGGAGGAAUAAGGAGCAGUAACAGACACCUGGACUCUGGAAGAGGCUGAGAAUGUCUGAGUGAGAAGAUGGUCCUUGAAUGCAGAUCUCCAAAGCUGAAUGAAAAUAAGUAUUAAGAACACAUGAAGGGAAAAAAAAAAAAUAAAAAGGAGGGGGUGGAGAGAGGAAUAGGUAAAGAAGAAGAAAUUGCAGCAUGGUAAAAGAAAAGGUGGAAGUGAACAAUGGAGCCAGAGACCUAUGCAAAAAUAAAUGAAAAGAAUGAAGGAAAAACAUUAUUUGAUAUUUCAGAGAACUGGAGGAAGUAAUUGAGAUUAAAUCUGGGAGAAAAUCCCAGAGAAUAAACACAGAAGGCUGCAAAUCUCAUUGCAGCUCACAGCUUUCCCAGUGUGCUGAAUGACUAACUCAACAAUCUCAUCCAACUUGUGAAAUAUUCAAAAUACCAUUAGUUAAUUUUGUAACCUCCUCCCUGGAAAUGCAGUACACUUUUUGUACCUCUAGAAAUGUGUCUCACAAGUUAAGAAGUAAUUAAUUUGACAAGUUAUUGAGCCCAACUGUCCCAUCAGUAACCAACUUGAAUAGGAAGGCCAGUAAAUGUGUUGACAGUGGAACAUCAGUGAGUAAAAUAAUGAUCAUUCUGUAGAGGUUAAAUGGGAAUGGCAAAACAGCUAUGCUGGCUCUUGCCCACUCUGAGCUUGUGCAGUAAAUAAGUGUUGUCAGUCAGUCUCCAAAUGUUACAUGUAAGAGUAAAGUCAAGAUAAAAAAUCUGAGCCUAUCCCUGAUCUGAUCUCUUAUAAAAAGAAGACAUUUUAUGAAUAUUGUCUGAGUGUAAAUGAACUCAGGAUGUAAACAGGGGCUGAUAUAUUUUAUUUAUAAACACAGUAUAGGAAACAAUCCCUAAUUUCUUGGAGUUCUUGGCAUCUUGCAAGGACUCCUGUCCCUUUUAGUAUCCAGUAUGGAUUAUGUUCAAAGUAAAUUCCUCUGUUAAAUGUCAGCAAAUCCAAUAAAUGCAUUAGCAUCUUAUCUAAGCAGAUUGUUCCAAGUGAUUUUACAAUGGUUAGUACAACUUAUAUGCAGCAAAACUCUUUAGCAAUAUCUGUUUUCCUUAGUUUCCUGUUAAUUUUUCAAGGACUGACACUCUAGGCUUCAUCACAGACCAGGACUGCAUCAGGCAGGAUGAACCCCUGAUGAACAUUGACCACUGAGACUAAUAAUACCUAGUUAUGGCAAAAAGUUUCUCCUGUGUGUGCACUUUAAGGAGAACUUUAAGUUCUCCUUAAAGCAGACUAUGAGAAUAUUUGCAGCAGCUUUUGUCUCUCCCUGUGAACUGAUGAAAUACAAUUGAAAAUGCUGCUUUAGUCAUAUCACCAAUGUCUCAUCCUUUCUGCUUCCAGCUUUAACAGAAAGAUUGUUUAAAAAAAAAAACAAAACAAAAUACCCUAACCACAUCAAUGACCAAACCACCAAAACAAACUAACUCAGGGUAAGAACUUAGGCUCAGCUAUUGCCAGAUGGAAUUCCUUUUCUCAGAACUUUAUCCCAAAUAUUCAAAGUCUAACAUCUGCUUCCAGUAGGCAGCAGGAGAUUCUGGCAGAUUUGGUUAAUGCUAUGAGUCUGGGGCAGCAAGAGCUUCCUGCUCAUUUAUCAAGUACAAUUUGAGGUACAGCUAGGAUUUUUGUGUUAUGAGGGUUUCGCAGCCCCUUUUAGCAGAAUGCAGUGCAGAUGAAACAUUUGAGUUAGCAAAAGGAUAAUGCAGAGCUUGCAAUGCAAAAUUAGACCAGAUAAAAUUGUAGAGGGAGCGUUUUUAAGAGAAAGAUAAGCAAAUGUCACAUUGGGGUUAGAGUCCUCAGGAAGUUAGAAGUGAAAUUCUGUGGCUUCAAGGGUCUUUGGAAAAUGGCAGCUUAUUCCUUUGAGAAUGCAGUAACAAACCAGCUGGUAGGGAGGGGUGAUGCCAGAUGCUGCAACGUGUGCAUUGAGGUAGGAAGGGAGCAGAUGAAUAAAGGGAAUUUUCUCCAGUCUAAUAGGCAGCUAAAGGAAAAUUACUUCAGGAAUUAAAAGCAUACAAUGAAAAAAAUACAGUGGUCCAGCAUACUGGAAACUGGAGAUGAAUGUAGAGCUCUACUGUCUCCCAAAGACAGACACAAUUCUCUCUUAUUGAGAAUUUUAUUGUCCUUGCCCAUCUCCAAGACACAGGAGGAUCAUGGCUCUGGAAUCUCACAAAGUUACAUCUCACAAAGACAACCAUUCCCCCAGAAAGUGACAGAGGAGAAAGAUUUGUAGCACUGGUGAGAGGGUUUCUGAAAGGAGAUAAAAAAACAAAACUGCUUUGAAGAUGUUGUGCGCAACCAUGUAAAGUUUCAAGCUGGAACUGAUGUAAACCUCACACAGAGAAGGAAGGAUGACAGAGCUGCUGUGGGACUUGCAGCCAGCAGUGGACCACCCCAUGAAGACUGUUUUUCAGUUACACAUUAACUUCACAAUGUGCAGUUUUCAUCCUGUUGAUUUUGAUGCAUCCUUCUGUUUCUAGCAGCUGCCUAUGCACAGUAUGUAUUGUGGUAGAGGAGUAAUGAAUCAGAGAAUUGCUUUCUCAUGAGACUAAGCUAAGCAAGAUGCCUGUCUGGUGGUAGCCAGCUUCUUUACUAAUAAAAAAUUCAAACCAUUACAUCUCCUUCACUCUAGGGCUGGCUCUGACACUCAAGUCAGCCUCUUCCUUACAGAAAGCUGACAGUUGGACCAAUUUUAAAGCUUACAAAUCUCCUCAUCUUGUCUGCAUCUGUUCCAAAAGAGGCAGAACUGAGCUUAAAAAACCAAAACCAUGUAACCUAAACCCAAAGUUUUAAGAGGAACAUGUCCCCAGACAGGUACCUGAUAAAGCAGCAUUUUAAACCACUUUUCCCUGGCAUUCUUUUCACCUAUUACUCUUGACCUGUAAAUCAGCUCCCAGGAGCACAGUAAUGACUGAAGCAACAAUAUCAAGUCCUGACCCCUCUAUCUGACAAACACAACUGAAGGGACAGCUGAGAGCAUGCUUUGUUGAGGUAGAAGCAGCAACACUGAAAGCAUUCAUUGCCUUAGCAACUAGGACAACCUCUUCUUUAAUUAGCACAUCAUGGUCUGAACUUUGCUAAUAGAACCUGCCUACACUGCAUGCUAACCAUGGGUUAGGUAAUCUCGCGCUUGCCAACACAGGCAGCCUACCACGCUCCUGCUUCCUGACAUUCUCCACAUGAGCACUCUGUUCUCAGGUCCCACAUCUGCAGGCAGGCUGUGGGUGGUGUUAAUGAAUGAUACAUCCUUGUGGUUUCUCACCCUGGACUCAUGAUCUCCUAUCCCAUCACAUAUUUGUCAGGGCUGGCAGGCACAGGGUGCUGUGGAACAGCUUCUGUGUGCUGUGUUAGGAUUUGGGAGGUUACUGUCUAUGACAAAGGAAUUAUUUCCUGGCAUUAGCUUAGACAGGAAAUGCUGAUAUGGAAGAGAAAUAAGAGAGCUACCUCACUGCCCAAGCAGCCCCCCUUGGCCUAUCCUCCUCAGUUCCUCUCCCUGCCACCCUCUUCUGGAGCUUCUUCACCAGCGGCAUUACUGAUGACCACAUGAAAUCUCCAAGAUCCAAUGGCACCAGCUUUUAUGGAAUACACUCUUCCAGAAGAUAUGCCACAGAGGUCUGUGAUGCAGUUAUUGUCUGUUCCUUCCCCAAAAUUGCAGGUGAAAAAAACUCAUGAAAAAAACUGAUCAAGGUAAAAUAGAUAUCUGGAUGAAAACGAGAUUUGAGAGAAAAAAAAACCAAACAGGGUUGACACAGUCAUUGUCAUAGCUCUAACUACAGCUCAUUGAAAUUUGUAUCAGCAUAGGAAGAGUAGCGCUAAGUUUAGAGCAGAAAGUAAAACUAGUCUGAGUUAACAGUGCUCAAAUAUUCUGGGCUGAAUUCUGUACUGCCACUGGCGUUAGAGAUGUAAGGUCCAAAGCUGGCAUGGGUGUGACUGUAGGAAAUCCUACCAAAGCAAUGGAACAAACUGUGCUCUGAGACAACAGGUCUCACUAAGUGGGAAAAUGCAGCACUCAAUAGAGGAGAAAACUAAAUUUUGAUUGUUUUAAAUGCUUUAGUUAAUAACAGUAUGAACUAAAGAAGCAAACUCUUCUCUUUUUUUCUCCUGCUAUAUUGAAUUAACCCUGGGAAUUAGGGAAAGAACACAAGAUCACAUGCUGGGUUUGGAACGCCUGCUCAGCAAAACAGUGAAUGACACUGUGACUACUUUUGGGAUCACCUUCAGGGUACUUUCACCCACGGUUUCUGUGAAACUGCAUGACAAGAUCUUUCUUAAUUGCAAUAUUUACAUUGAAGAAGAGGUUUUCACAAUAAAGUGGGGAUGGUUUCUGUAGAUAUUUGUUUAAGGUUUUGGUGUGUUUUGUUUUGUUUGUUUUUAAUGUUGAACAAGAUGAGCAGAAAGGGAGCACUGCUUCCAUCAUACAAAAGUAGGGAUACCUACUUUUUGAUAUUCAAGAUAUUAGAUACUCCUUAUAAAUGUACACUUUUAGAAGCAAGAAAUUGCACCUCAAAAUCAGUAAAUUUUCAACGUGCACAUGCAUACCGUACAGUAUCAAUCACACAUAAAAUAUCAAGCUUGCAUUCUCAAAUGUGGCUAAUGUUUGGAAUGCUGACAACAAGAUGCUUUUCUUCUGUUCUUUAAAAUGUCAAACUUUUAACAGAUCAUUGCCCCAACAGAAUCAGAAAUUCAGAGAAGUGCCGUGAUCAAAGGCACACACCAUGCUUCUGAAGAGGAAUUAAGGAAAUGCAAGUUCAGCUGGUAUAAAGAACUAUCACCUCUUUGGUCUGGUUAUGUGCAUCUUUAAAUUAGCCAUUAGAUAAUUCUGCCACUUCACUGAACUUUCUGCAUUGAAGAUAUCUAUUCUUCCUUGUCCAGGAGGAAUAGUUUUAGUGGUAGUUAUGGAAAUAAAAGAGAUAAUAAAGCUCCCAUGCAAAUCUUA